rnacentral:rRNA from 1 species
GACGAACGCUGGCGGCGUGCUUAACACAUGCAAGUCGAGCGGUAAGGCCCUUCGGGGUACACGAGCGGCGAACGGGUGAGUAACACGUGAGCAACCUGCCCCUGACUCCGGGAUAAGCGGUGGAAACGCCGUCUAAUACCGGAUACGACCACCGGGUGCCUGCCUGGUGGUGGAAAGUUGUGUCGGUCAGGGAUGGGCUCGCGGCCUAUCAGCUGGUUGGUGGGGUAACGGCCUACCAAGGCGAUUACGGGUAGCCGGCCUGAGAGGGCGACCGGCCACACUGGGACUGAGACACGGCCCAGACUCCUGCGGGAGGCAGCAGUGGGGAAUAUUGCGCAAUGGGCGAAAGCCUGACGCAGCGACGCCGCGUGGGGGAUGACGGCCUUCGGGUUGUAAACCUCUUUUACCACCAACGCAGGCUCGGGGUUUUCUCCGGGUUGACGGUAGGUGGGGAAUAAGGACCGGCUAACUACGUGCCAGCAGCCGCGGUAAUACGUAGGGUCCGAGCGUUGUCCGGAAUUAUUGGGCGUAAAGAGCUCGUAGGCGGCGUGUCGCGUCUGCUGUGAAAGACCGGGGCUUAACUCCGGUUCUGCAGUGGAUACGGGCAUGCUUGAGGUAGGUAGGGGAGACUGGAAUUCCUGGUGUAGCGGUGAAAUGCGCAGAUAUCAGGAGGAACACCGGUGGCGAAGGCGGGUCUCUGGGCCUUACCUGACGCUGAGGAGCGAAAGCAUGGGGAGCGAACAGGAUUAGAUACCCUGGUAGUCCAUGCCGUAAACGUUGGGCGCUAGGUGUGGGGACUUUCCACGGUUUCCGCGCCGUAGCUAACGCAUUAAGCGCCCCGCCUGGGGGAGUACGGCCGCAAGGCUAAAACUCAAAGGAAUUGACGGGGGCCCGCACAAGCGGCGGAGCAUGUUGCUUAAUUCGACGCAACGCGAGAAUCUUACCAAGGUUUGACAUCACCCGUGACCUGCAGAGAUGUGGGGUCAUUUGGUUGGCGGUGACAGUGUGCAUGCUGUCAGUCAGCUCUGUCAUGAAAAUGUUGGUAAGUCACGCAACGAGCGCAACCUUGUUUCCAUGGUUGCA